rnacentral:misc_RNA from 1 species
AAAAAAUCUAUUUUCAUGGUCUUUUAAAAACCCUAAUCGUGGAUUCUGAUAAGGUAAUUUCACUGUUUUUGGGCACCGACGCCAUCGGAAACGGUUCAAUUUGAGCUAGAGCUGUGUUCUAGAAGCUUCGCCGAUCCUGGUAUAUUUCUGGAAACUUUUAUUGGUAGUUUAUGUGUUUAUGAACUUGGAUUUUAGUUUGUUGAACUUGAGAUAGACUAUUACGUAUGGAAUCUAAGUUGUGAUGGAUCAAGUGAGGCUGUUUAACUUAUAAUCGAUGCUUGUUGUAGUAGUAUGGUUUGAUGCUGUUUUGUUAUAGAUUUGAAUUUAUUCGAAUAUUAUAAAAGAAUUUAGUGGUGAUUUUGGUGAAGUUUUGGAAAAUGAUGUCUGUGGAGAGAUCAUUUGAAGCAUGGGAAGAGGUGCAAAGACAUGGGCAGGAUUUAGCGGAUAAGCUUGCUCAAGGAGUUACUGGUUUGAUUCAAUCGCAUAUAACUCCUCCGUCGUUUCCAUGGCCAUAUUCUCAAAAUUCCAAGCUUUUUGAUGUAGAGUUGAUGGCUGAAAGUUUUAUUCCGAGAGAUUUUGGGAUAGCUGUGGAUAAAUCUGCUAUUGCAGGGGUUUCAGCAAUUUUUGAUAUGGGGAACAGAAUAGGGCAAGCUUCUAAGCUUUUUGAUGUAGAGUUGCCAAGUCAAAAUUUCAUUCCGAGGGAUUUUGGGAUAGCCGUGGAUAGCUCUGCAAUUCCAGGGGUUUCAUCGAUUUUUGAAAUUGGAAACAGGAUAGGGCAGGCUGGAGCAGACUUUGGGGCUUGCUUGAAUGGAAUGGUUCACCAGUUUUUCAGGAAGUUGCCAGUGCCUUUUCGGCAAGAUGAGAGUUUAAGAUUGUCUUUGAUGGCUGGGACAGAGAGCCAAAGAGCUGAUUUGAGUGUUAACCUGCAGGAGGAUUUGGGGUUGUUGGCCGAAAGAUUUAGGGGAUAUGGGUAUGCUGAAAAUGAUUCAGCUGAAGAUAAACCAAGUGAAGAGGAGUUUCUUGAUGUUAAUUUGAAGGCAUUCAAACACUUCGGCAGAUCACAGGGUACAAUCAACUUUUCGUCAACAUAUGAAAGUAGGACCAGGAAUGUAGAAAGUUCUGUGGCUGCUAGAGGAGAUUUGUGGAGAGUAGAGGCAUCACAGGGCAGUUCCACUUCAGGAAAUGAUAAUUCUUCCCUGUUCCUUGUUCAACUUGGACCAGUACUUUUUGUCCGUGAUUCAACACUACUUCUGCCAGUUCACUUGUCUAAGCAACACCUUCUUUGGUAUGGCUAUGACAGGAAGCGUGGAAUGCAUUCUAUUUGUCCAGCUGUGUGGUCGAAACAUCGAAGGUGGCUUCUUAUGUCGAUGAUCUGUCUGAAUCCUUUGGCCUGCUCGUUUAUGGACUUGCAGUUUCCAAAUGGUCAAAUAACUUACGUAUCUGGGGAGGGUUUGUCCACCAGUGCCUUUUUACCUCUAUGUGGAGGUUUGCUUCAAGCCCAGGGUCAAUACCCGGGGGAUCUCAAGUUCAGUUUCUCUUGCAAGAAUAAAUGGGGAACAUGCAUUACACCGAUGAUGCAUUGGCCCGACAAAUCAUUUAGUUUUGGGGUUACCCAGGCAUUAGCUUGGAAGAGAUCUGGUCUCAUGUAUUGGCCAACCAUUCAAAUAAGCGUAUGCCCGACAUUUGGUGGGAGCACUCCCGGUUUGCAGGCAGACAUCACACAUUCUCUAAAGGAGGGAUUAAAUAUCAUCUGUGGCUGUGCACUUGCAACACACUCUUCUGCGUUUGCAUCAUUAGCUGUGAGUCAUUCCUGAACUUUUACCCACGUUCCUGCUUCUUUCUUUUUGUUUGAUAGAAAUCUUUUUCUUGUGCAAAUGCAGCUUGGGCGGUCAAAGUGGAAUGGAAACGUUGGAAGCUCAGGGGUUGUUCUUAAGGUGGAAACCCCUCUUGGCAACACUGGCAGGCCGUCCUUCUCCAUUCAGUUGAACAGCGGCAUCGAGUUUUAAUACACUUGAGAAUUCCCCCCGCCCAAAAACCACAUAAUACUGCAAUCAUCUGUAAAUAGGACUGUUACAUGUAUAGUUCAUCUACUGAUCUCUUUACUGUGGUUAUUUUUCUUUAAUGGCAGAAAAGGGGGAAAUCAGUAGCUCUUUAAUCACACAAAGAUAAGCGUAUUUUUGGGGCUGAUCUUGUAAUUUUUGUAUCCAAAUUUCCUCUCUUAGAAGUCUCGAGCUCGUUAUGCCGAUGGUGUGCAGGAGGGAAGCUGUUGUAAAUUAUGUAUCCCUUUUAUUCCAAACUGACUGGUUUUUGGACUACUCCUUUUCCAAUU